rnacentral:lncRNA from 1 species
GCCGCAUGAAGGGUUUGCUUAUUUUCCCUAAUAAGGCACUCGAAAAAGUGAAUUAGAAGAACUUCUUCUAGAAUAGAAAGCUUUGGGCCAGUGAGAGUAAGGUUAAUAAAGCGGUCCCAUGAUUUCCUAAGAGAUUCUUCUUCCAGUUGUCUAAACGAAAUAAUCUCACGCCGAAGUUCCACCACUUUGGAGAUUGGAAAAUAUUUAAAAAAAAAGAAAACUAUUAUAUAACUCCUUCCAAUCUCCAUGAACACUCCCUACUUUGAGUUUAUACCAAUGUCUAGCUUUUCCUAUUAAAGAGAACGGAAAGAGCUUCCAUUUAAGGGUC